GAAAGAGAAUGGCGCUACACUUCAACGCCAUAUUUUUUGAGGAAAAAUUCUAACUAUUCCAAUGAAUCCAAUGAACUUUACUCUUUGUUCAUCCUAUUUCUCUCUCCUAAAACCUUCAAUCACGUUAACUUUCUCUGUAAAAAGCCAAAAUCCUUCACCCCUCUCACAACCGAAUCCCUUGUUUCUUUCUCUUUCUUCCACCCGAUUUUUUAAUUCUCCCCAAUUUGAAGACAAACAUGUGAAGGACUUAUUCUCCUACUUACAACAACAUCUGAAGGAAGAUUACUACCAGUUUUAAGUUUGUAGCGGCCGUCAUCUUCGAUUCCAUCUAGCGAGCAUUGAUCGUUGAUUCCCUUUCCACUUGGAGUAAAUUGGAGUUGUUGUGUUUGUCAAGCGCACUGCACAUGGCAGCCUCUGCUGUAUUUCUUCCAAUCCAGCCUCUGAUGGUUUCUGCAAUGCAUACUGGGAUGAUGGAGGAGGAGAGAGGAGGCAAAGGGAAUGUUGCUCGUGCCUUGGCUUGACCUAAAGUGUCUCUCACUUGUUUGAAAUCUAAUAUUGUCCAAAAACCCAAAAUGAUGAAGCCAAGUUAGCUGCCCAAGUGAUCUGUCAAAUGUGUUUCCUAGUCUUACCAUCAUAAUACCUGAGAAGUAUAAAAUAUUGUCCACAAUUGACCUUCCUUGGGCCUUCUCAGUUGCUACACACACUGUCCUGGAUCCAUUGAGAUUCCAUAGCUUGCAACAUGUGAAUCUUGAAGAAAACUAAAGGAUCCUUGGAUCAAAUGGCUAUUUUUUGAAGACAUUGUCAAGGUUUUUUUGUUGAACUCUUGUUGAACUAUUGCUUCUUUGAUAUGUAUUGGCAAUCCUACUGCAAUACUCAUAACUGUUGAAAAAUCUCUAAAUUAGCAUGUAAUUUGUUGACAUAACAGCUAUGUAAGUUGCUUGGAUGAUGUACUUUUGCACCAGUUUGGCUGAUUGUAUUGCACUAACUACUAUGAAAACGUAAAUCACUUUGGUUUUAUUUUA